UACAGAGGUCCCAAGCGUUGUUCGGAUUCACUGGGCGUAAAGGGCGCGCAGGCGGCUACGCACGUCCGUUGUGAAAUCGCUCGGCUCAACUGGGCGGGGUCAGCGGAUACGGCGUAGCUGGAGCAAGCUAGGGGGCAAUGGAAUUCCCGGUGUAGUGGUGGAAUGCGUAGAUAUCGGGAGGAACACCAGUGGCGAAGGCGGUUGCCUGGAGCUUUGCUGACGCUGAGGCGCGAAAGCGUGGGGAGCGAUCCGG
rnacentral:rRNA from 1 species